GUUCAAUGGACUGUAACAUAUGAACCAUCCAUUAGGGCAGGCAUAGGCAACAUUCGGCACUGCAGAUGUUUUGGACUAAACGUCCCAUGAUGCUUUGCCAGCAUUAUGUGUGCAAGAGCAUUAUGGAGGAUGUAGUCCAUAACAUCUGGAGUGGUGAAGGUUGCUGAUCCCUGCCUUAGGGUAAUGACUAGUAGACAACUGCAAGGAAACACACUAUUAAAAAUACCAAAAAACAAAUUUGUCAAAAUAUCCUUUAUGCACAAUGUAGUCAACUUAGAUUGCAAAAUGCAUUUUCUCAUAUUUAAUUUUCACUGGAAAUUUUUUGAAAAUAGCUAAAUGAAGACCACAUGAUACCAAUGAGUGUAU